UAGGGAAUCUUCGGCAAUGGGGGCAACCCUGACCGAGCAACGCCGCGUGAGUGAAGAAGGUUUUCGGAUCGUAAAGCUCUGUUGUAAGAGAAGAACGUGUGUGAGAGUGGAAAGUUCACACAGUGACGGUAACUUACCAGAAAGGGACGGCUAACUACGUGCCAGCAGCCGCGGUAAUACGUAGGUCCCGAGCGUUGUCCGGACUUAUUGGGCGUAAAGCGAGCGCAGGCGGUUUAAUAAGUCUGAAGUUAAAGGCAGUGGCUUAACCAUUGUUCGCUUUGGAAACUGUUGAACUUGGGUGCAGAAGGGGAGGGUGGAAUUCCAUGUGUAGCGGUGAAAUGCGUAGAUAUAUGGAGGAACACCGGUGGCGAAAGCGGCUCUCUGGUCUGUAACUGACGCUGAGGCUCGAAAGCGUGGGGAGCAAACAGG
rnacentral:rRNA from 1 species